GAUGAACGCUAGCUACAGGCUUAACACAUGCAAGUCGAGGGGAAACGACAUCGUAAGCUUGCUUUUGAUGGGCGUCGACCGGCGCACGGGUGAGUAACGCGUAUCCAACCUGCCCACCACUUGGGGAUAACCUUGCGAAAGUAAGACUAAUACCCAAUGAUAUCUCUAGAAGACAUCUGAAAGAGAUUAAAGAUUUAUCGGUGAUGGAUGGGGAUGCGUCUGAUUAGCUUGUUGGCGGGGUAACGGCCCACCAAGGCAACGAUCAGUAGGGGUUCUGAGAGGAAGGUCCCCCACAUUGGAACUGGGACACGGUCCAAACUCCUACGGGAGGCAGCAGUGAGGAAGAUUGGUCAAUGGACGAGAGUCUGAACCAGCCAAGUAGCGUGCAGGAAGACGGCCCUAUGGGUUGUAAACUGCUUUUAUAAGGGAAUAAAGUGAGUCUCGGGAGACUUUUUGCAUGUACCUUAUGAAUAAGGACCGGCUAAUUCCGUG
rnacentral:rRNA from 1 species